CUACUCUCUCUGUGUCUCUCAGAACCAAGUGCUGACCCCCCCACCAUCACAGACCAGAUCAGACUAUGGGAGCUGGAGAGAGAUUGACUACCGUUCACUGAGGGAGUGCUGUAUAACCAGUUCCUCUCCCAGGCUGACUUUGAGGUGUUAAGGGACAGAGCUCAGGGCCUGGGCUGUCUGGUGUGGCAGAACGUGGCUCACAGAGUGAUUGUGGUUUCUCCGCAGGGACACAGCGAAGUCAAGGGGUUCUGGAAACAACAGAAGAGUCACACUUGAUAACACAGAAGGGGCAUGAAAAAGGGAUUAAGAGAGGAAAAGGAAUAAGGAUAUAUAUCAUUUUUUUUUACAUUAAAUUAUAUUUUUCCAGAAGGAGUUGGCUAGGAAAGACUGGUAUUGGGAAAGACAAAAUGGAGUAAGCAACUGCAAGUGCUUUGUUUAUGUUUUUGAUAUUGUCCAUUGUCUCCUUUUGGGUUGGUGGGCAAAUAAAAUGAUAUGAAGAAAUGUAUGACAGCCUGCAAUACCUGUAAUUUUAUGCAUUACCAGCAAACCUUUCAGACAUGAGUUGUAUGCAUUUCCUGAGUGGGCUCCCGAGUGGGGCAGUGGUCUAAGGCACUGC